UUGAAGCAAUGAAGGCUGUGGAAAGUAAUGUCAAUUUGGGUCCAAUUGCUACAGCUUAGUUACAGAUUAUUUUUAGUGGAAAGAGAGGAAUAUUUGGGAGUGUUCUAUUUAUUAUUUAUUAUUAAGUGAUAAUUUGUUGAGUCAUCUUCUUAACAAGAAAAAGAUGAUGUGUGCUUUACUUCUUAUAGUCUUUGUCAUCAGUUUGUUCUCUGCAGAAAUAGAUGAUAAUGAGAUUUAGUUUUUUAAGAAUAA
rnacentral:misc_RNA from 1 species